CCUGGUAACAGUGGAAGGCUGGUAACAGAGAAAGGCUGGUUACAGAGGCAGGCUGGUUAGAAGUAUAGGAAAGCGUGGAGCAGGUUAUAUUUUUAGGAGCAGGUUUGAAGGUAAAUCUGGAGCAGGUUGGUCUGAAGCAUGUUCAGAGGAGCCAGGAUAUGAGGUGUUUCUGGUAAAUCACCAACUUCACUGUAAUGGCCAGUGGUAUUCUCGGGUGUGGCCUUUUGUAGGAUUUGUAAUUAGUCCUAGGCAGGUGAGGACUGAGGUGACUAGUGGCUAGGGAGGCCACUAGUGGUGGAGAGCUGUAACUUCUUUUAAAGGAACAUAAAUAAAUGAAGAUAAAACAUAGUUGUCAGGAUAGAAUCCUGACAGUACCUUUAAAAAAGAAGAUAAAGGUAUCGAAAGGGGGGUGGCUCUAAGAAAAUAUAAAAUUUUGGGUAGGAGAGUCAUUUUCAUCGAAUUAACCCUACCUAAUCAUGAAAUUUCCAGACUACACCAUCUCUCAGGAUCGUUCCUAAAGUCUGACCAGACCUUACCCAUGUUAUAAGAAUGCAUCUUGGACAGGUUCUUGCAUAGGUUAAUGCACAGAUAAGAGAUAUAAGAGUUCCUCCAAUUGAAGUCAAACCGACCUUUCAAAGUGUCUAAAUCAUACCAAAGUAUGUAGAAAGAGAGAGCUUGAGUUUUGGCUGUAUUCAAUUUAUGGAAAGAAAUUUUGUCGAAUUCCUGCAGAAUCUACAUCAACCGAGUUAGUGAAGUCAUUGGAUUUUUAAGCAAUAACAUGAUGUCAUCUGCAAAAAGGCCUAUUUUAUGUUCCUUACCCCCUACUGCAAUACCUUUAAAAUCUGCGCUGCAGCGUAUCAUAUCAGCCAGGGUCUCCAUUACCAGCACAAACAGGAGUGUAGACAAUGGGCAAUGGGUUUUCAGAAACAAAACCAGUCACAGAUACUCUAGCAGUUGGGUGACAGUAUAGUGCAAACACAGCCCUGAUGAAGGGGUCUGGGAUGUUGAAAUGUGACAGAACUUCCCUCAGGUAAUCCCAAUAGAUCCUAUUGAAUGCCUUCUCUGCAUCCAAACAGACAAGCAAAGGAGGUGUGCGAGUAGAUUUAAGAUGAUUAAUCAAAUUGAUGAAACGCCUGGUGCCAUCAGGAGCCUGACAGUUUAUAAUGAAACCAACCUGGUCUUUGUCGGUUAGGGAAGGAAGAAGUCUAUUUGCUAACAUUUUUGAAUAAAUCUUUGUGUCAUUAUUAAUUAAUGAAAUGGGACAAGAAUUUGAACAGACAUUAGGUGUUUUACCAGGUCUAGGUAACGUGACUAUUUGUGCACAAAGCCUCCC